CAAGAAAGGUUUGAUUUGCCUUUACAGAGUAAAAUCGACAACAGAGGAAAAGCCAAGGAACUCAAAGCAGGACCCCCUCCCCUUCUGCUCAGCUCCCUUAUACAGCUCAAGACCACCUUCUUGGACCACUUUCUAAGGAAUGGAGCCACCCACAGUGGGCUAGACCCUCUUUACCCCAAUGAAUAACUAUGAAAAUGCCUCACAGACAUGGCCACGGGCUAGUCCAAUCAAGGCAAUUCUUCAGUUGAUGUUUCCUUUUCCUAGGUGACUGUUGUGUCAUGUUAACUGUGACAUUUUCCUGUGUCUUACAGAGAAAUGAAGACAAAAUUUCAACAUUUAAGAAAAAUCUGACCACGUAGGUCAUUCGCAAAAUAUAUGAUUUCACUGGUUGGUUAGGGUUAAUAGGCAACUUCUGCUGCCUGGUAUUUGGCUCUGGGCAAGGCCCGCACAGCCAGUAUAAACCAGAUGGUGAGGCUUGGUGUGUAACCUAGUAACAUGCCCUUGGGUCAGUACCCGGUACUGUAAAAACAGGGUGUGGUGACACAAACCUGUCACUUGAGCACUGGGAGGGAGAAGCCAGGAGGCUCAUCUUUAGCUAGUCUGAGGCUAGACAUGAACCCCUCUCCUCAGAUACAAUAGGCUGGACGAUGCCUCCCUAGCUAAGAACACUCAAUGCCAAUCACAAGGACUAGAUUUUUUUUUUUUCAUUUCAGCAUCUGCAUAAGAAACUGUGUAGCCCUGCAGGUCUGAAACUCCACUGGGAGUGUGCCAGAGACAGGAGGAUGACUGUGACUUGCUCUGCCUUAGAGGAACAGGCAGAAAAUAGUGGAGGAGGACAGCCUGCACCCUCUUCCAGCCUCUCCGCCUGUGCACAGAUGUGCGCCAACUACUUAUACAUGUGCACCUUCCUACGCCUGGAUGCACACACCCACACAAGUCUUUAAAACUAAACUGCACGACUGGGGUAUCCCCCCACCUCUUGAAUUAAGCCCCAUGUAUUUGAGAAUCUAAAUGAGGCAUCUUCCACCAGGCUGAGGGAAUGGUAUGCACUCUCCCGCCAUUCGCUUACUGAGGAAAUUGCUCAUUGGCCUUAGGCUAGCGAAUCCAGAGUCUCUGCUUCCGCUGGAAGGAAGGGUGGGGAGUAAUGAAGUAUAGAGCUUCACCGUGGAAGCUCUCAGAAAGGUCCAUAAACCAGAGGGCACAUGAGGUUGGCUUCCUGCGAGCCCGGGUGGCUUCACGUGGUACAGCAGGGAUGGGGGAGCAGUUCUGUGUACUGACUUUUUUUCCUCUGUGAUGUGGGUGAAGAGAGCCUGGGAGAGAGAGUCUGAAGAGCGAUGAAGAUUCUGCAGGGAGGCCGCAGCACAGCAUUCCAAACAUAAGCCAAAGGGAGGGGCGUCCCAGCAGUCCGGAAGCCUCUCCUGCCUUGGGAGCCUGAGGACCGGAAGGUCUGCGCUUUGGUUUUCUUCAUGGCAGUGCCCUGUGAGCUGCAAUGAUGGGCUCUCCACUUGUGACGAUGUCUUUCCUCGACUACCCCUUCUAUUCCCGUCCUUGCCCCCAAGCCUUUGGCGGUAGUUAGUAGCAGCAGUCUCUUGGUUCAUGUGCUCAUGAAGUUCCAGUCUGAGUUUGGGUAUCGAGCUGGAUUAGGAGGAAUCUGGUGGCGUUGGAGACCAUCAUGGGUGACUCCGGGGAUUGUGUGGGCCCGUGCAUGCAGCGGGGGGAAAAAGUUCUGCCUCUAUCCUUGGGAUCCGAGGCAGCGCCCAAAAAUUCUCUCCGGAUUAGUCCUGGUCCAAAGCAAGGGUGAGAGGGCAGACGGGGUGCAGUCAGUCUGGGUUCAUUGCCCAGCAUCCAGUGGACCGGGGAGAGAGACACUGUCGCUGACUUGCCUCCAAGUCAGGAAGGUGACUGUGAUGGCUGGGGGCAAUGGUGCUGCAGAUUAAAGCCACAGGGCGGGGCCUCAGAGCAGUCACUUCUCCUCCCUGGGGCACAAAGAAGAAUUGAGGAUGCACAGUUCCAGCCUGUGCCCCUCAGGCCUAUUACAGGAGAACAAAGUCCCCCCUUCCCCCCAGCUCUGUAGUUUUCCAGAAAGUCAAGCAUUCCUUAAAGAUAAAAUGACCCUGCAUUCUCUUCUGCAAUUAGGCUUUGUGGGUCAUUUCUGUGUUUUUAUGGAGGAAGACCGAUUAGCCCCAGAGCUCAGCCCCAGAGCAUCGAUACAUGUCCAGGAAACCCCGCAGGAUAAAGUGAAGGGUACACAGCCUUAGUUAGAGUCACAGAGGACAUUUUUAUCGCUGUAGGACCCUCAGCACUGCCCGUGUUAGCCGGGAUCCCAGGAAUCUAGUUCCAGAGUCCUUUGAUCAUUCACAACAGCACCAAUACCUCCUCUAUAAAAGCCCAUGAGCAAACAUCCUUGAGGUCUCUUUAAGACUGUAAGAGAGGUCUGGCUUCUUGUGGAAAUUAACCUGUAUCUGCAGUCCUCAAGAAAAGUUGAAAGGGUGAAUCAGACUAUCAAAAAUAAAAAUUAAAAAAAGUUAAAAAACAAAACAAAACUGUCCCUGUCAGGAGGAGACUUAAGAGUUAUGGAUUCAAGCCUUCCUUGUUCCUCUGCCGUCAGAAAGCACCUCUCCCCGACCUCUUCCCACCCUUAGAACUCUCUUCUGGGAAAAAUCACCUUGCAUACCUAGUCUGGUGACAAGCCUCUGCUGAUAUUUUUUCUUGUUUCUUUUAUGAUUUUCAAAACCAACUAUUCCCAGAGAAAAAAUAAAUCUCAGAUGGAGACUUCAAAAACUUUAGAAAUUUCAGGCAAGCGAAUGUCUGGCAGACCUGGUUUGGCAUUAGGAUCGUUGGUGGGUGUCAUCCAGGUGGAAGCUCUGGUCACACCCCUCCUUAAUGCCCAGGGUUGUAAGGCAAAGCCACAGGAACUGUUACUGCCAACGCAGCUCUGACACUCAGGGUCCUCAGGGCCUGUUAUAGAGGUAGCCGUUAACUGACUCUCUGGAAGCCCCGAGAACAGCUGCAUAACCCUGUGCGUUUUUUUCUGCCCCAUUUGACCCAGGUAGGGCGGAGUCUACCCACCCCACCCCCACUCUACCCCUGCAUGCCCGUUUUCUUCCUCUGCAACAAAGAAGUGCCUUUCUAAGAUCCGCUAGUACAGCGGAGUGUGGAACUGUCGAGUGCGAGCCAGGCACGUGCGAUCGCUUUGUUAACGACAGAGCCGAGUAGUAAAAGCAGAGAAACAUUUAAUUCAGGGUAUUUUACACUAGAAGAAAGGGGACUUCGGUGUGAAUUGGAGCUAAGCUCACAGGAAGGAAGGUUGGAAUUUAUAGUGGGACGAACAGAGGACUAAGGGAAAACAGAAGGGUGGUACGGAAUUCUCAGAAGAAAUACAAGUGGCUCACAAAUACUUCUUAGUGCUCAACAUCGUUGGCCACCGAGAAGUCCACGGAGACACCACACUCUCCAGUCAGAUUGGCAUUUCUCUUCUUUGGGGGUCUGGUAGACUCUGACGCUGAGGCCUGGCCUUGUCACUGGGAGGCUGUGUUUUAAGUGCACAUAGCCCUCUGUGCAGCAAUGGAACAGCCAUGGCAGGGACAGAAAGUCCUGCAGCAGAGGAAAUGCAGGGAAAACUGCUUUGAUGCAAAAAUGUGCCUCAGGACCUUUCUGGGCUGUUUGAUUUUCAUUCCGUGGAGUCUCUGAAGUCUUUAGCUUACAACCCAGUGAGUAGUGAUGCAAAAGUUACUCAUAUUAACAUGUAAAUACUGUCCCUGGAACUUCAGUGGGCAGUUCUUCCCAACAUAUAAAGGCCAGUUUCACCCCUC